GUAUUUGCUUUACAUGCGUGGUCCAUUGUAGGACUAUAUAUGUCAGUUUCUUUAGAGAGUUUAAAAUAUUUUCCUUUUCAAUCAUGUACAUAAUUAUGAAGACAUCGUAUGUAAACAUCCAUCCGUAAAGAUCAACCCGUACAGACCUGUUUGAAUUAAUGCGUUGCGCCAUUCGGAGCUGUGCUUAGCCUACUCUUUAUUUUAACCGGUUUCUAUUUCUACUGUUUGCAAAAGGGCCCAAAGUGUCAUUUUUAUUUAUACCAUGCAUCAAUUAUAUUAUGUGCACACAUCCAGACACUCCGCUCAUUUGUGUGAUUACUAUUUAGGGGACGGGAGAGAUUCCCUGAACAUGUAUUUGAACGGUGGUGGACAGGUUGCGGUUAUCGGGACAGGAGCUUAUUACGCCCUGUCUUAAAUAGCUGGAUAACAAAGGUAGGCUCUAAUGAUGAGAGUAUAAACUAUUGCCUAUAAAAAUGUGCUGUUUUCUGUCGAUUUAUACAGCGUGUCUCUUUAAUAACUCUACCUACAUGGACAUAUUACCUCAUUUACCCCAACACCGGUACCACUUGUAUAUUUCACCGCUAUUGUUAUUUUACUGCUGCUCUUUCAUUAUUUAAUAUUUGUAUCUCUUACUUUAAAAAAAAUGUAUUUUCUUAAAACUGCAUUGUUGGUUAAGGUAAGUAAGCAUUUCACUGUAAGGUGUACCUGUUGUAUUUGGCGCAUGUGACAAAUAAAAUAUGAUUUCAUUUGAUAAGGGUAGGUUCAAGGCAGGUUGGAUUCAUUUAUAUAAAUGGAGGGCACAGGGAAUCUGGUCACAAUAUAGAUGCAGUGGCCAGCUAGAGACACAUUUUAUUACCAUGUGUAGAUGCGACAAGUCUCGAUCAUAUAUCGAAUCAUCUUGAUCACAUGACGACAAGCACAUGUUAAUGCAACGUGUAAUCACGGCUUAUGAGGAGAAUAAAAGGAAGUACGCAUAUGCAAUACCAUAUUAAAACAUGUAUUUAGAACUACGGUUUGUUUAGUGGUAAUAAUAAUAUGUGGAUGUAUGUGUUGUAUACCUUGUAUUAAUUUAAUCAGAUUUGUUUUAUUUUCAUAAACUCUAGGUUUUACUACAGCUUUUGUUGUUGUGCCUAUGUUGGUUAAAUUAGUAUGUACUGUUUACAUUAAAAAUGUUGUGACAGUUUCUGUCACGUGAAGGGUGUGUGAUCGUUUGGGCCAAUCAAGAUGGACCGUGGGUGGUGCGCAGAGGGCUAUCCGGUUUUCUGUUGUUGCUGAGGCCUCGUAGUGAUGGGAAUUCCGGCUCUUUUCAGUGAGCCGGCUCGUUCGGCUCAGCUCACCAAAAAGAACCGGCUCUUUUGGCUUCCAAACGGCUCUUCAAAAAAAAAAUGUUUUGUAUUUUUUCAAGUAAAACAGUUGGAUAGUUUGACUAUGUAUGAUUGGUGUUAAAACAAUUCUAAAUUAAAUUAUAAAAUUAAAUCAUACUCUACCUUAACCACAAUGUAUUUAAAAAUGCAUUGGGCUGUUAUGAAAAAGAAUGCUAUUAAACAUUUGCAUUUAAAGUAUAAUUUUUAAUGUACAUAAGCAUUUAAAUCUAACCAUUCAAAACGAAUACAAUCUGAACAGCAUAAUAGAAUAUUGCACCAUAUCAAAGAAAAAUAAAUAACAAUUUGCUUAACUGCAGCAUCCCACUAAUUGAAAUAAAUGUAAAAAAGGAUGCCCUUACAUAAGGAUGCCCUUAUAUAAGCAAAGUGCAUAUAAAUGUAACAAUUCUAAACAAAUACAAUCUGAACAACAUAAUAAUAGUAUAUUGCUCCAUAUCAAAGAAAAACAAAUAACAAUGUGCAAACUGCAGCAUCCCAGUUAAAACAUUAAACUGGUCCCUCUUUUCUCUCUCUUCUUUAUUGCCAUGUUAUAACCAGCAGCACACAGCAAUGCUGACCAUAUUUUGCUUUUAUGAGAGAUUUGCAUUCAGAAAUGCCACUCUAUUAAUGCACAAGUAGUCUACUCUAUUAAUGCACAAGUAGUCUGCAAUGUCAUUACUAGCCUCUACAAAUGUUGUUGCCAAAUGGCCUGGGAGCAUACAUGACUCCUUCAUUGUAUCAAAUUAGGCCCUGGGAAUCAAGUUUGAGGAAGGUCACAUUCCUGAUAAUAGCUAUUAGGUAAAGAAAUCCAAUUUAUUUAUAUAGCCCUUCUUACAUCAGCUGAUAUAUCAAAAUGCUGUACAGAAACCCAGCCUAAAACCCCAAACAGCACGGUGGCUAGGAACAUCUCCCUAGAAAGGCCAAAACCUAGGAAGAAACCUAGAGCGGAACCAGGCUAUGAGUGGUGGCCAGUUCUCUUCUGGCUGUACCGGGUGGAGAUUAUAACAGAACAUGGCCAAGAUGUUCAAAUGUUCAUAAAUGACCCGCAUGGUCCAAUAAUAGUAAUCACAGUAAUCACAGGUCAGGGUUCCAUAGCCGCAGGCAGAACAGUUGAAACUGGAGUAGCAGCACGGCUAGGUGGACUGGGGACAACAAAGAGUCAUCAUGCCAGGUAGUCCUGAGGCAUGGUCCUAGGGCUCAGGUCCUCCAAGAGAGAAAGAAAGAAAGAGAGAAUUAAAGAGAGCAUACUUAAAUUCACACAGGACAAGACAGGAGAAAUACUCCAGAUAUAACAGACCCUAGCCCCCCGACACAUAAACUACUGCAGCAGUACUGGAGGCUGAGACAUCCUUUAUGAAAUGCUUUAUUCUCUUUACCUGAUACCUGUUUAAUUGUUUUGUGGUCCACAGAAACACUUAAAAUAGUGUUGCUUAUUAUGAUAUCAAUUUACUACUUUGGUAUGUUUGGGGUUUAAGGUGAUAGUGGCUAUGGACAAAAAAAACAUGGCUCAUGACACCAAUCCUAAACACUAACAACGAUGCAGAAGAGAACUUACAACCAUGCUCAGAUGAAAAGAGGAGUUUAGUAGAGGGAUCUAUCGGAGUCCUUAAAUCUACAUUGACCACGGAAUGUCAGGGCUAAUCUCUCACCUUCCACCUUCAGUAGCACCUCCUGCACCCUGCGCAGGGACAUGACCUCCCCCAGGAGCGUCCUCUGGACAGUCACCAUCUCCUCCACACCAGCAAGCUUCCUUGCCCGGGGUGGCACUGGCUCUUACAUUGGGGUGUCAUGAUGAAUAAGGAUCUGAAACAUGCGCAUCUCCUCCGUGUCUUCGGUUGAGAAACCUGUUGAGAAAAUACAAUGAAUCUGUUGUGGCAAUGAUAUGUGUUGUAGGCCUAUUGCAGAAUAAUAAUAAACAUAUUUAAAUGAGAAAUAAAACAAACACCUACCUCUGCUUGUUCUUCUGUCAUAUGAUCAUAACGAUCCAUGGCUCCCACAUCCAGGUUCGGGAAUAUGGAUGAGGUCCAGUGUUAUUUCUGGAAAGUUUAAUUUAAAGACCCUUGUGCCCUUCGGUCUCAACGUAGACUUUGAUCUGAAGCCAUUUUUGUGAUUAUUGUGACUUUGCCAUUGUAAUUGUUUGUAAGCUUGUGUAGUCAAAUUAAUCUAUGAUUGUAUGUUGUCCAUUUGUUUGUAUGCUGUUCUUUGUAUGACAUUUUAAUAUUUGAUUAUUAACCAAUGAUAUUAGGCCACUCUUGGCCAUGAUUACAGACACCUGUGUCUUUUGACACUAUAUAAACAAGUCAUCCCGCAGUGUUUGUGAUUAUACCCUGAU
ensembl:lncRNA